UACGUAGGGGACAAGCGUUGUCCGGAAUCACUGGGCGUAAAGGGCGCGCAGGCGGUGAUUUAAGCAGGAUGUGAAAGGCUACGGCUCAACCGUAGACAUGCACCCUGAACUGGGUCACUUGAGUAUUGGAGAGGCAGGCAGAAUUCCUGGUGUAGCGGUGAAAUGCGUAGAUAUCAGGAGGAAUACCGGAGGCGAAGGCGGCCUGCUGGACAAAUACUGACGCUGAGGCGCGAAAGCGUGGGGAGCAAACAGGAUUA
rnacentral:rRNA from 1 species